rnacentral:lncRNA from 1 species
GGAUUUAGCUUCUCUGAAUUUAAAGUCUGUAUACUUUUUGGUUGGGCAGAUCUCCACCGGGUACUGAUUUGGGGUUGGGGCUUCUUCCAUCACAUAGCCUUGCUGGGAAAAGGAGGAGAACGGGAAUUGUGUGGGGUGGUUAUGGCCAGCCCUGCUGCGUUCAGCAGGCCCUGUUGGCAGAGGUGUAUUCGCCAGAAUCGGGGUGCUUAGCAUCCAUCCUUGGAGUGUCUAAGCAAAGGGACAUAUUCCUGGUCUCUGCACCCAGGCCUGGCUAUAGCUGAGCAAGUCUGCAGUAGACCUUUCCCAUUGGCUCAGCUGUUCAGAAGGAGAGCUGGACAUCUCUUGUUCUUUUCCAUUUAGCCCUCAAUCUGAUUGGCCCUCGAGCUGUGGAUGUGCUGUCUGAGUUGUCCUAUGCCCCUAUGACUCCAGACCACUUCCCAAGCCUCUUUUGCAAGCCUCUUCAAGUUCCUUCAAAAUUUUGCCUGGGUGG